GGCGCUUUGGCGGAGUGGUUAACGCGAUGGCCGUGAGUUCCCUCUAACAUUAAAAAGUCCACUAGACUGUACCUAACAAUCACAACAGUGCUAAGCCAUUCUCUUCGGAGGCCAGAGUUCGAAUCUCUGAGGCGUCG
rnacentral:tRNA from 1 species